AGCAGUAGCCGCGGUAAAACGUAGGGCGCAAGCGUUGUCCGGAAUUAUUGGGCGUAAAGAGCUCGUAGGCGGUCUGUCGCGUCUGGUGUGAAAUCCCGAGGCUCAACCUCGGGCUUGCAUCGGGUACGGGCAGACUAGAGUGCGGUAGGGGAGACUGGAAUUCCUGGUGUAGCGGUGGAAUGCGCAGAUAUCAGGAGGAACACCGAUGGCGAAGGCAGGUCUCUGGGCCGCAACUGACGCUGAGGAGCGAAAGCAUGGGGAGCGAACAGGAUUAGAUACCCCCGUAGUCCCUGUCUCUUAUAC
rnacentral:rRNA from 1 species